rnacentral:lncRNA from 1 species
UGUUGAAGGACACGGAUUCUGGAGAGCUUAGGGCAUCUGGCGAGGGAGUAGAGUUAUCCUCCGCAUUUUCCCUUUCAAUUAGUGCUGGCUGUGAACUGUCAACAACCAGCGGCUGCAAAUUCGUCGGGUCAAGCUGACUCGGAGAAAUAUCAACAUAUUCUUCAUCCUGGUCGAAGGCGAACCUGGGGUCAGGAAUAAAAUGAUGGAGAGAUUGCCAGUGGAAGCAGAGGAAGCACCAACCAGCAAUAAGGAAAGACGUAACAUAAGCCAAAAUUCAUGGUGUAGCAGGUUCAGUGACAGAAGGCAAUGUCCUUACAGUAACCAUCCUACCCGAUUAUAUUGAUGCUAACCUACUCUGACCUCUGAGUCAUCUUUGGAAAAGGCUCAUUAUGAUGAUGGCAUCCUCUCAUUAAGCUUUGUUUCCCUGGAGCUGGACUAUUUUUGAAGCAGACAAUAUGUUUCCCUGUUUAACAAUAAAUAAGCAGAACAACAGUUCUUGUUUAGCAAAAUAUGUUGGAUUUCAUAUCUAUUAGUAUUUCAGCAGAAUUGUUGGCAUAGGACUAAAUACAUGACUGAUGGGAAGUUCUUUUUUUAGUUUUUCAUACACUGGACCUCCUUCAUUGCACCCUCCUUUACAUAAACCUAGACCACAUGAUAAAAAUAAACAAACCAAACACUAAAAGAGAGCAUGGGCAAAAAAAACCUGAAUAAGAACCUCUUCACAUGGCCCUUUUAGGCUGUGCCAUUGCGCCAGCAAUUGCUCACCCCAUCUCACCCCAAAUUAUUUUAGUACUCAAUCAAUACAUCCCAAUAUCCCACCUUUUCCCCAAGACUGAGACUCAAGGUGGUUAAUAGAUUAAAUACAAUUCAAAUAAAACCAUAUAUAAGUAAAUGCAUACAAAAUCCAGAUUAAAAUAGCAUUCAACUACAGCAGAGUCUCACUUAUCCAACACUCACUUAUCCAACGUUCUGGAUUAUCCAACGCAUUUUUGUAGUCAAUAUUUUCAAUACAUCAUGUUAUUUUGGUGCUAAAUUCGUAAAUACAGUAAUUACUACAUAGCAUUACUGCGUAUUGAACUACUUUUUCUGUCAAAUUUGUUGUAUAACAUGAUGUUUUGGUGCUUAAUUUGUAAAAUCAUAACCUAAUUUGAUGUUUAAUAGAUUUUUUCUUAAUCCCUCCUUAAUAUCCAACAUAUUUGCUUAUCCAACAUUCUGCCAGCCUGUUUAUGUUGGAUAAGUGAGACUCUACUGUAUUUGUAUAGUUAUUUUUGAACCACAACUCCCCAUAUGCCCCAGCAUCACCUCUCCUACUCACUAGAAGCUGAUGCAUAUCAUAAGGAAAACCAUAUUUCCAUUUGGUGAGUCCAGACAUUUUUGCUAAUGUAAACAAGUCCUUAGCCAAUAUAGGCAACAAUGAGGAAUGAUGGGAAUAUCUAACAAGCCAGUUGUGAAACUCUAAAGUAAUCUGAUUAUUUUUUCAGGUUUUCUUUCUUACCUCAUAUCUGUGCCAGUUUUGUCUCCUUUUCACUACCAUGGAAAAAAAGAGUUCUAUUGCAUUAGUAGAGUAGAUGUGACUAUGAACUAUUUUCCACCACAUUGAAAUAACAAAAGUUAUAAAAUUCACAAAUCCUGUAUAGUAAAAGGUUAAAUGGUGUCCUGUUUUCUCUUAGGGUUCAAGCUGUUGCACAGUUAAUGGUUUGUAAACAUUUAAAAUGAUGUCUUAAGUCACUGAUUCAGGUGGGAAGUUGACAUUAGCAACAAUUCCAUGAUCAAAGAGAGAGAGGCAGGGUAAUCUAACAUUGACACCAAAUGGCAAAUAAAUUGCAGCAUAAAAGGUCACAUUGAAAAUAACUGUCAGUUUGGAAUGCUAGGAGGUCAGAAAUUGUCAGCAGCAUGCCCUGUGAUGGCACCAAAUACUUCUAUGUCGUGUGCAAGCUCGCAUAAUCUGAAAUAAUUGGACCAUCAUAAAAUAAGAGUCAGAAAUUCUAAACUGAUGUUAUGAAGAGGAUUUUUGCCCAGUGUGGAAGCCAUGCAAUAAGCAUUGACUGUAAACCUGAACCCAGUGCAUGUGUGCAAAGGAGAUAAAUUGCCAAGGGCAAACUUUGUUACACCAUAAUCCUAGGCAUAUUUAACUAGAGGUAAACCCCUCUGGAUUUUGUGGGAUGUACUCCAAGAUACAAAAUGUGAGCUUCUUCUUCCAAAUUUAAAAUGGGUUUUGUGCUACCAUAUAAUUGGGCACUCUGGGUAACAUAAAAGAGGAAUGUCAUAUAUGGGUUUGUAGUAGGGAAAGAAGACAAUUCAAUUAGAUUAGUUUGGAUUUGUUAAGAUCUUCAUAUUGCUCUUCCUCUAAACAAAAAGCCAGGUUACAUUGGGGUGAGCAACUGUGGCUUCUCAGAAAUUGUGGGAUAAUAUCUCCCAUAAUCCCUCACUAUUGGUUUUAUUGGCUAAGCCUGAUGGGAGUUGCUUUCCAGCAACACUUGGAAUGGUCUUGAGCAAAGUAUUCAGGAAAAUACACCUGAUUUUGUUGACUGCUUUCAGAGCCGGCCCUAGGUAUUUUUCAAGUGUAGGCGAACAGAAUUUUGGCGCCCCCACCAAACAAAUCACUGAAAAAUAAAAGUGUUGGAUAAGCGAAAAUGUUUGAUAAUAAGGAGGGAUUAAGGAAAAGCCUAUUAAACAUAAAAUUACAUUAAGAUUUUAC